rnacentral:rRNA from 1 species
AAUAUUGGACAAUGGGUGAAAGCCUGAUCCAGCCAUCCCGCGUGAAGGAUGACGGNCCNNUGGAUNGNAAACUUCUUUUGUACNNNNNUAAACCUACUCUCGUGAGAGUAGCUGAAGGUACUGUACGAAUAAGCACCGGCUAACUCCGUGCCAGCAGCCGCGGUAAUACGGAGGGUGCAAGCGUUAUCCGGAUUUAUUGGGUUUAAAGGGUCCGUAGGCGGACCCGUAAGUCAGUGGUGAAAUCUCAUAGCUUAACUAUGAAACUGCCAUUGAUACUGCGGGUCUUGAGUAAAUUUGAAGUGGCUGGAAUAAGUAGUGUAGCGGUGAAAUGCAUAGAUAUUACUUAGAACACCAAUUGCGAAGGCAGGUCACUAAGAUUUAACUGACGCUGAUGGACGAAAGCGUGGGUAGCGAACAG